rnacentral:tmRNA from 1 species
GGACGCGAGGGCUUGAAAGCCGGCGGGUACGCCCCCACAAUGCAGGCAUGGUUGUAAUUCCGGCAAACCGGAGACGUUCUGGACGGGGGUUCGAUUCCCCCCAGCUCCACCAGAAGAAGGCACGGCGACAACGCUGCGUUUUCUUCUGAGGGGGCUGACCUGGUCUCGACAGGGCGGGCAAGGGUGAGCAGGCAACCCGAGAGGCGACGGACGUAAUCCGCGCAAAACCACAAACGCCAACGAUGAGCGUUUCGCACUGGCCGCCUAAGGCCGAUGCCGAGGCCGCUUGAGCCUUGUUACCAAAGAAAAGCCGGCGGGGACUUCGGUCCCCGUCGUCA